rnacentral:rRNA from 1 species
AUCAACUUUCGAUGGUAGGAUAGAGGCCUACCAUGGUGGUAACGGGUAACGGGGUGUUAGGGCACGACACCGGAGAGGGAGCCUGAGAAACGGCUACCACAUCCAAGGAUGGCAGCAGGCGCGCAAAUUACCCAAUCCCGACACGGGGAGGUAGUGACAAUAAAUAACAAUACGGGGUUCUUUAGGAUCUCGUAAUUGGAAUGAGUACAAUUUAAAUCUCUUAACGAGGAACAAUUGGAGGGCAAGUCUGGUGCCAGCAGCCGCGGUAAUUCCAGCUCCAAUAGCGUAUAUUAAAGUUGUUGCAGUUAAAAAGCUCGUAGUUGAAUUUCGGGGUUAGUAGGUUGGUCAUGCCUCUGGUAUGUACUGGUCUCACUGAUUCCUCCUUCCUGAUGAGCUGUAAUGCCAUUAAUUUGGUGUUGCGGGGAAUUUGGACUGUUACUUUGAAAAAAUUAGAGUGUUUAAAGCAAGCUAACGCUUGAAUACAUUAGCAUGGAAUAAUGAAAUAGGACGUUCGAUCCUAUUUUGUUGGUUUCUAGGAUUGACGUAAUGAUUAAUAGGGAUAGUUGGGGGCAUUAGUAUUCAAUUGUCAGAGGUGAAAUUCUUGGAUUUAUUGAAGACUAACUACUGCGAAAGCAUUUGCCAAGGAUGUUUUCAUUAAUCAAGAACGAAAGUUAGGGGAUCGAAGACGAUCAGAUACCGUCGUAGUCUUAACCAUAAACUAUGCCGACUAGGGAUCGGAUGAUGUUAAUUUUUUAAUGACUCAUUCGGCGCCUUACGGGAAACCAAAGUGUUUGGGUUC